rnacentral:lncRNA from 1 species
CUCUCCCCUGGCUCGCGCUCUUGGCACUCUCCGGGGCUUGAAGGAAGCAGGAAAUAGUUUGAGUCACAAUAAUACACAGGAGCAGCAGCCGAGGCCACUCGCGCCCGCCCAUUCCCGGGGCCGCCUCCAGCACUCUGGCCGGGCGAGGCGCCUCCGGCAACGCGCGAGGAAAGCGCAGGGGACACCGGCCCAGCAGCCGGCGCCGCGUCGGAGGCGCCCAAGCGCCUGGCAGAGCCACCCUCGCCCAGCGCCGGACUCCGCCAACUGCAGCCACUACCCGCUUCCAGGGUUCGAAGUACCGCAUUAUUAUCAUCUCCCUGUGAGUGGGACUGGCACCCCAGCUGUACCUCCUGGCGGAAGUGCUCCACAAAACACAGACUCCUGCUAGCCGACAGCCUGCUUUACCAGGUACUUGCGUUUUUUUUGUCUCUCAUCAGCCUGGGUAUUAGCUUUCCUCCACCAAAAGUGUGAUGUAAACUAUGUCACAUCCUAGAAAGUCAAGGCUACCAUUUUCAAUGUUGUUGAUAGAGAAAUUGUUUAAAAUCCAAGAAAAUGAAUUGUAUCAGCCCAUUUCCCAGAGAACAGAAAGAUUUUUACCUGCAUUUAUGGUCUGAAUUGAUAGGUAACUUUGGGUGAAUGCCACCUGAGGUCCUUCCGGGCCAAAGCAUGGAAGUCUAACCUCUUUGGUUCAGAAUAAAUGCCUAGCAAGGUAUUUUGAUGUCUGAGGUUAUAGGUCAUUCUGGUAGGUCACCUUUUUUCUAUUAUCUGUGAGGUUAGCAGAAUUAUGUAACAUUGGUAAGCAUUUGGCUGAAAAUAAAAAAGACAUCAGUCACACUGGCUUCCAAAGAUUAAUUAUGUGCAGGCUUUUAGCAAAAGAGCUGAGUAUUAUCCAUUUACUGAUUCAAUUUUAAGUAUGAAUUAAAUGAGAUUUACAAGGCAUUGAAUUUUAUUUUGACAGAUGCUGGGAUAUAUUUGUUCUUAGUUAUACUUUAACCCAUGAUGAUAGGCCAGUCCAUGACUGGCUGGAAUUAGGUUAGAAUUUUUUUCAGGUGUUUGUUUCAUAAUUCCUGUCUGUUUAAGCUCCAGGACUCUGCUGGGGUGGAUUCUAGCUGCAUGUCCAUGCUGGAGUUUAGUGGAGUGUUGCUAGUAGAUAGCUGUUCAAAUGCCAAUGUUCCUGCCUCCUAACUGUGGGAUCUUGGGCAUGUCUUAAUGUCCAUGAGCCCCAGAUCCUUCAUCUGUAAAAAUGGAAUGUUAACAUGAAGCUGAUUGGUUAACAUAUAGCAAGCACUGGGCACAUACCUUUCUUGCAGUCUAGUUGUCUAAAUGGGGACACUUGAGUUCUCUUGCAGUGCAGCAGGUUAAGGAUCCAGCAUUAUCACUGCAGUGGCUUGGGUCACUGCUAUGGCUUGGCUUCAGUCCCUGGCCUGGGAGCUUCCACAGGCCACAAGUGUGGC